rnacentral:misc_RNA from 1 species
GAUGAAGAACGCAGCGAAAUGCGAUACGUAAUGUGAAUUGCAAAUUCAGUGAAUCAUCGAGUCUUUGAACGCACAUUGCGCCCCCUGGUAUUCCGGGGGGCAUGCCUGUCCGAGCGUCAUUGCUGCCCUCAAGCGCGGCUUGUGUGUUGGGCCCCGUCCUCCGAUCCCGGGGGACGGGUCCGAAAGGCAGCGGCGGCACCGCGUCCGGUCCUCGAGCGUAUGGGGCUUUGUCACCCGCUCUGUAGGCCCGGCCGGCGCUUGCCGAUCAACCCAAAUUUUUAUCCAGGUUGACCUCGGAUCAGGUAGGGAUACCCGCUGAACUUAAGCAUAUCAAUAAGCGGAGGA